rfam:Laccaria bicolor S238N-H82 LACBIscaffold_170 genomic scaffold, whole genome shotgun sequence.
CCAGAAAAGUUAAAUGUGAUAGCUUUUAAGAGCAGACUAAAAGUGUUCUGCUAGUGGGUCUGCUUCGCUAUGGUGAGAAGCAGUAACCUGCAAGACCGUCAAAUUGCGGGAAAGUCCUUAGAGCCUUUGCUACCGCCUCUGCAUGGAAACAUAGCAGUGUGCACCAGGGUAAUGACCUCGGGUAUGGUAAAAACGCAAAGGAUUGGAUAAUCUGCAGCCAAGUCCUAAGGGUGUAAAACCUAUGGAUGCAGUUCAACGACUAAAUGGUGGUCGGUUUCAACGCAAGUUGAAGCUUAAGAUAUAGUCUGGCCCCCCAGAAAUGGGGCC